CCAAAUAGGUUGUUCUCCUCCCCACCCACUUUGAGCUUUUGCUCUUAAGUACAUUCAGGUUCCAAGCCUGACCAUGCUUGUUUAAUCUAAUUACCAUACUCUUCCAGGUCUUUUCUGGUCCAAGGCUGGAACGUUGAUAGUUAUUUCUCUGUGUUACUUUUUUUUUUUAAUGUAUUUAUAGUGGUAAUCUAAGAGGUUCUAACAUUUACCUGAAAUUAAAUGUGGCCAUUUAGUCAUU
rnacentral:lncRNA from 1 species